CUGGCAGCUCUCCAACCACUCAUCUCCCAGCCUGUAGCUCUGCUGGGGGUUAUUGCGCCCCAGGUGCAGGACCCAGCACUUGGCCUUGUUAAACUUCAUGCAGUUGACCUCAGCCCAUCAUUCUGAUUAGAGAAGGAAAUUUGACCAGCAGGACUAUCUAUCGUACCCAACCUUUCUUCUGAGUCUGUAGACUAAGUAGGGUCUCUAUUGUAAGUUUAAUACAAGGUGUCAUUGACUCCAGAUGUACACGUCUGCUGCCACCGGGUAGCUAAGAGUAGCAAAAAAUACUGAAUUUAGGGUAAGUCAUCUCCCUUUGACAAGCAUAAGUAUCCAUUCAGGAAAAUGGAAAAACUUUUUUUUUUUUUUUUUAAAUAGAAAAGUGCCCUUCAUAUAUUCUUUAAAAAAGUUACAAUCAGAAAAAAUUAUAUUAGGAAAAGAGAACUUGGUCACAGUCUUAGGAAAACACAACAAAAUAUAUCUGCAAAUAAAGAAUAAGAGCUGGCAACAACCCACCGCAUUUCCUUCCUGCCUACUGGCAAGUAUAUUCCACAGCUUCUAAUCCAUGACUGUAGGUUCAGGGUGCCAGCAGUGCUUGAUCCAGCUCUGCUUUGUUGCAGCAUUGCAUCUUGCUGCAUCCUGCCUACUGCCGCCAUUUCCAGCUUUUGCUGCAAAGUCCUGAGGUUUGAUCUCACAAGAAAGUUGGAAUAAGAGACAUGUCUGGGACCUUUGGGCAGAGCCUUUGCCAUUUGCAAAUACUUCCAAACAACGUGUGGACACGUGGGUGGUGGUGAAGGGCAUUUGGCCAGAAGUCCCACCUUUGUGCUGCCUUGAGAAAAUGGCUACAGAAGAAAUUCUGCUCGCUUAUGCAGUUCCAGACACUUGCAUUGCCCCAACAAGAAGCUUUUAAGCAGAAUGGCAGCAUGUAAACAGCUGAAGAAAUGGGGUCAUCAGCCUAGAAAUAACUUUGGAUUUUUGGAUAUAUAGUGAUUUUCUGCAAGAAAGCAACCACCAUGUAACUUUAUGGGGCAUUUGGUGUCAAAAGCAGCAGUUCCCGAUGUAUUUGUGUCAGUGCAAAUAAAAGUGUACAUUGAUGAUUAUUGAGAGGGUUGAGAGAGGAUUGGAUCUUGGUUUGGAAGUAACAGGGAGAUAGUUUUGAGGCUCUUUCAUCUCAAAGUAAAGACAUACAGGAUCCAGUGGCUGGAAGCUGGAGGUAUGAAAAACAAAGUACGGGAUUUAUUUUAGCAGCAAGGGUUAUUAGUGUUGGAAUGUUCCCAAGGGAUGUGGUAAAUUGUCCAUCCUUUGUAGUAUUUAAAUGAAAAAUAAAUGUGUUUCUAGAAGAUAUGCUCUAUUUUGGCCACAAAUUGUUGGAGAAUUGUUGAGUGAAACACUGAGUUUUUCAUGGUGGAAAUCAAAUUAGAUGAUUACAACACCUCUAAAACCUACCAAGACUGUCAUUUCCUUUCGAUUUUGUUGUUGUUGGUGGUGGUGGUGUUUUUUUUUCUCUCUUAUUUAUGGCGGAAUUGGUGUGAGACAGGGAAGAUAGAUAAGUUUGCAUGACUUCAGCUACAAAGGAGUGUACCUGAUCAUGAAUGGUGCUGAGCCUCUUUAUCAGAAAAACACUAUGACCAUUGGGAUUUAGGAUUUUUAAGCCUCCAAGAUCCAGUGAUGCUUUGGAUAAGCUCCUCCUCUGGGUCCAUCAAUACCGCCUUUUUAGCUGGGUUAGUACCUUGUUUAAUGAGACUCAAACAGGAUCUGCACUGUUUUCUUGCUUUUCUGCUUUUGACUUUGCUGGUGUGGGUACAUCAGAUACCUUGUUGCCUCACUGACCCAUAGUAGGUUUGAGAGCAUAAUUCUAGGCUUUGUAUGAAGGGAACAUUUGUAAAGCAGCAGUCUCAUGCUAAUCUGCAGAGGAAAAGCACGUAUGACAGGCGGUGGGGAUUCCAUUUCUCGGGAUCCAGAGUUUAAGACAGGCUUAAAGGAGUCUUAUUAAAAGUGUUUUCCAGUGCAUGUGGCUCCUUCUGACAGCACCCAGGUGGUUCAGAAACCAGUAUUAAGAAUAAAAGCUGUUUCUCUUUUCUGUACAACAAAUGGUUCAAGUGUCUGGUAUUUGAUUCAGAAAGGAAACCUGCAGCAGUCAUGUCCCCUGAAAUAAACCAACCAACAUUUUGAGCUGCCAACACUUCUGUCUAUUACGUCAAGGCAUCACAAAGUUUAAAGCAUAGCAAAGUAAUAUAUAUAUAUAUGUUUUUCUGUAAUCCCAGGGUAAAUAUUAGGUAGACAGUAUUUCUGCUUUGUGCAUUAAAAACCCGACUGAAUUUGAAAAGCCUGCAAGUGCACUUUGGGGAUUUUGGAAAGUGUCAUUUGGCCAUGAGCUAAGACCAGAAGCUGCCAUUUUGCAGAUGGGGCAGGAGGGAAAGGCGUUUGGCCUCAUUCAUAACUUCACAGCUACUGCAAAUAUCAGCUGAUGAAUAUUUAUGUUAUGCCUGGCAGAGGCUCGAAAGGCAAACGGGGGGAGGAGCAGAGGGGGAAGCUUAAGUUAGGAAAAUGGUCGUCUGAACUCUGUGGGAUUUCUUUACCAACACUUUCCAUGCUUGAACAGUAGCUGCUGAAUGAAAUCAUUAUGCACUGAGCCCCUGCGCAGGAAAACAAAGUUUGUCAAGACUCUGUUCGUUAGCACCUCGUACUUUGUUUGAACCUUGGACAUUUGCUGGACUCUGUAAAUGGAAACUUUUUUUUUUUUUUUUUUCUCAAAUCAAACACACUGUAGAGCUAGCCUGUUUUCUUUUGUUUAGUCAUUGCUACAAUGGUGAUGGUGCUAAUGGUAAAACAGUGUCUCAUCAUUGGAACAAGAGGGGUCAGACAGAACAUGAAGUGCUGCAGAGUGGUGAGGGUACUGAGGAGGUCCUGCUGCAAGACCAACUGAGAUAGCAAAUAUGGAAAGGAUUAAAUUAGGUGUCGUUAUUGAACAUACCUGUAGCCUUUAACUGUGUUCAGCUGUGUCUGUUGGUGUCUGUAGGCUCAUCUCCCUUGCCAGGAACCCACUUGAAACUGGAUCUGUCCUUCAAGUUGCUGCACAGCUAUUGAUAAGAAGAGAAGUAGAAAUUGAAUGAUCUGGGCAUAGAGCUGAGAGAUAACAGAAGCCAGAGAUGCUUUCCUCUAUACUGUGCUAAAUUUAGAAACAGCACAUAUAUUGUGUUGCAUUUAACUGCUGUGGGCAAUAAACGUUGGGUUAAAAUGAAAGUCA